CACGUAGGGGGGCAAGCGUUGUCCGGAAUCAUUGGGCGUAAAGAGCGUGUAGGCGGUCCGGUAAGUCGGCUGUGAAAGUCCAGGGCUCAACCCUGGGAUGCCGGUCGAUACUGCCGGACUAGAGUUCGGAAGAGGCGAGUGGAAUUCCCGGUGUAGCGGUGAAAUGCGCAGAUAUCGGGAGGAACACCUAUGGCGAAGGCAGCUCGCUGGGACGUUACUGACGCUGAGACGCGAAAGCGUGGGGAGCAAACAGG
rnacentral:rRNA from 1 species